AAUGCAUUUGCUUUCAGCCGCAGAGAGAAGAAGCUGCCCAAGAAUGGAAAGGAAGAAAUAUAUCACAUCAUCUGUCUGUCCACAGGCUUUCCUUGGGGCUUAUGAAGUGAAUGAAGGAGGGAAGAAAGGAGAGACAGAGAAAAUAUGGAUUUCCUCAUGGUUGUGAUUCCUCUUCACUCUUUUGAAUUUGGAAGGAUGGCAUACACAUCUGAAAAAUACCACUACUUCCUUCAUUGGACUGCAAGGUAUUUCUGUUUGGAAAAGUAAUGGAGUCCAGUCAACUUCAUUGAUCGCCAAGGACUGUCAAAAUUAUAAAACUUGCUGUGGAGCUCUGACAUGCCAGAAGCCGCUAGAAAAAGAAGUUUGACAUUCAGAAACUUAUCAAGAGGUUCUACUCUUUGGAUAGAGACCAAAAUCAUACUUUGAAAAAGCCUGACAGGUUUCUUCGGAAAAGUGGCCAUCCAUGGAAUGAAUGAAAUGUUCUCUUUCUAUUCCAGGGAUUGCAGUGGCAAAGCUAGGCUAGGUCUUGGAGGCUGGUGUAAGGCGAUGUGGGUGAAGGCAGGAGGCUGAUGGAAAGACUGGGGGGAAGAAAAGCCGAAAUGGAUUCACGGUGCCUUGGAUGAAGGACGAGAGGGGAACUGCAAGCUCCUUCAACUGGUUCUGUCCGGUGAGAAGUGAUCAAGCUUGGGCUGACAAGAGGCUCAGGGAGCCCUCACGUUCUUUCGCUUUUUUACCUGCCAAUCAAACUGCUACAAGACAACACCCUGAUCUGGCAUGGACAUAUCCAACUUAGAAAUAAUGUUUCAUUCAAGAUAAGGCUCGUGGCUUAGGAGAUUGUGACCUGGCUUGCAUCAUUCUAAGACUUCUAUCGUCUGUUUUCAAAACCCAAGGAGGACCUCCUUUUCUGUGUGAUAGUUCCUCAUGCUUUGCCAGCCACUGGGUCUUUAAGGAAGCUUGCCAAGAGUUCCCGGCUGGGAAGGACAGUUCGAGUUCAUCAUAGACAAUGAGCUGGCACCACAGUUUAAGUGACUCACCAACCUGGUUGCCCACUUCAAAAUGUCAAGAACCACACUAUCUAAUUGAAAGAACUGUGUUUUAGCAAAGUGUAAUUGGAUCGCCUGGCAAGAUCAUCUCAAACUAUGUCUCUGACCUUGCCUUUCAGUGGCUAUUUUGAGCACAAGAGGAGAAAGGAAAUGAUUCCUGAAUUAUAUCUUGUUUUUAAAAAUUAAGAUUAAUUAAUACUUGGUUUUAUGUUCAUUCCAUUGUAGGAACUUAGUGAUUAUUACAAAACAGUCAAAAUAGGUCAUAGCAAAAUGAACGUUUAAGAUUAGGUUAAAACAUUCCUCUGAAAUUUUAGUAUUCACUUUUGAAGUGUCAAUUACUAUAUUUCUGUAAUUUCUCAUUUUUUUCUUGGCUUAGAGUCAAGAUGAAAAAUGAUAUUUGAAUCAAAGACAUUGUUUUGUUAUAUAGCCACUCCUUUCUAAAAUGCAAAUCCACCCUCCCCUCACCAAUGCUUUAUUCUUUGUGCGCGCACACACACACACACACACACACACACACACACACACACACAGACAUACACAGAACCAGCACCCAAAUGGUAGAGGAGGUCCUUCCAAGACUUCUAGGACCUGGAUCAUGUAAGCAGUAGAUGAGAAAAUGAAGUAAGAGAUAUAGAGUAAUAACAAUAAAAGUCAAUGAUUUCAUUUUACAAAAAAGUCAUUGUGUAGUACUCAGAUAUUUUUAAGAGCAAGUAUUAUUAUGACUAAAGUAUAUUAUACUUCUAAAUUAUUAUGAUUCUCAUCUAAUUUCAAGCCACACAUAGGCGCCAUUUGAAAGCAUUUUGUGUUACAACCUAUCAACAAAAAUCAACUAAUAGUUUUAUAACGUGCAUAGGUUUACCCCAUGGGGAAUUAAAAUUUUUAUCUGCAAGUAUUUCUGUUGUUGUGAGACUUUAGGACAAGACAACAUUUGGUGUUAACAUAGAAGAAUAUUCUAUGGCUUUUUUAGCUUUAAAGUUCAUUACUCUAAAAUAAAGUACACGUGGUAUUUUUUUCUUCCUAGUGUUCUCUUAUUAUAUGUAGAGUAUUUUCGGUUGUUGUUUUUAACGUAUACAUUAUUUUUAUUAAGUCAUUUCAUAAAAGAUAAGAUAUAUACUAAUAGACCCUUGGUUUUCUCCUAAUUUAAUUAUUUCAAGUCAAGCAAAAUUGGGCAAUUUUCUUUCAGGAAAAAAAAAAUAUUGAGCAUGAUUUUGAGGUAAAACUGAUUAUUUACAGCAUCUUUUCUCUAAUAGGCUAACAUUUAUGAUGGAUCUUAUUUCAAAGUUGAUUAUUCUCAAAGAAAAGUGGAGAUAUUAGAAUUUCCGAGUAAAUUGCAUUGUUUUAAAAAGUACUUUAAUGCAUUGUUCACAUUGUUGCCAGCUAUUGACCAAAAAAGAGAAGAAGAAAAAAGAAAUAAAAAAAGCAGUAUCUGCUCCAAACGUCAAGUUUUGCAGUUUGAAAGACUUGUACAUUAUAAUUGUUUUUUUCUUUUUUGGAAAGCAGUAGUAAUUAAUACCAAAGGCAUAGACAAUUUAGGGCCAUAACCUCCCUUCCCCCCUCUCCACCUUUUUUUUUUUUUUUUUUUUUUUUUAACUUUAACCAUGAUAGGCAUCUCUGCAAGGUAGGUUUUAACAUAUUUUUUUCCUAAUUUUUUUCCCUCCAUUCAGUAAGAAGGAUAAGCUUUUAGAGUACCCAGUCACCGUGGUAACUGCCAAAAAAAUUCUCCUGAAGUUUGAAGAGGUCAGCUAGCAGGGUCAACAACCCUGGCCUCUCUCUGAGCUCGGUCUAGCAUGCCCCAGCCUGCGGUUGGAGUGUCAGGCCAGAUCUGACCCUGGGAGGUGGACCAUUCUGGCUCUGAUAUAAAUUUUUCGAGUCAGUUCAUGGCCUGGACUCUCCAGGUGGCCUCCAAAAUCGAUUUUGACCCCCUGACCCUGUCUCACGGAGGCAUAGCAUCCACCCUAAGUAAGGAUUUAGCCAGGAAUGACAGCUUUCCACUGAGUGUUAUUGGGGACAGUAUAAACAGUUUGGAAAGCAAGUAAGGAGGUGUGAGGGCUAGCAAUCAUUAAAAGCACAUUAAAAAACAAUUUUUAAAAAUCUUUAUUAGAGAAAGUUGUAAAUGCAUAUCUGUUACAGAAUUCCUGUGAUUUGUAGAGUUUUCUAGUCAGUUUUGAAUAUAAAUAGGUCACAUAUCUUUAUCUUUUUGCAUACUUUGUUACAAAUAUGCAAAUAAGAUAGGCAUACUUGCUACAAAAUAGGUACAGCAGGAAUGUAAUAUGUUCAGAAAAGGCAAACUGGUUAUUAAAACACAUUAACAGGUAAGGAGUUUCUAAUAUUUUAAAUACUAAAAUUUUACAUGUGUAUUUUGAAGUUUUUAAAAUGGAAAAAUAAAGAACCUUUAAAAA
rnacentral:lncRNA from 1 species